GACGAACGCUGGCGGCGUGCCUAAUACAUGCAAGUAGAACGAGUUGCGAACGGGUGAGUAACGCGUAGGAAACUGCCUCAUAGCGGGGGAUAACCAUUGGAAACGAUAGCUAAUACCGCAUACCAUCAGAUGUGCCCAGAUGGGAUUAGCUGGGUGGUGGGGUAACGGCUCACAAAGGCGACGAUCCCUAGCUGGGCUGAGAGGAUGACCAGCCACACUGGAACUGAGACACGGUCCAGAAUCCUACGGGAGGCAGCAGUGGGGAAUAUUGCACAAUGGGCGCAAGCCUGAUGCAGCCAUGCCGCGUGUAUGAAGAAGGCCUUCGGGUUGUAAAGUACUUUCAGCUGGGAGGCGUUACCCGCAGAAGAAGCACCGGCUAACUCCGGGCCAGGAGGCGCGGGAAUUC
rnacentral:rRNA from 1 species